rnacentral:misc_RNA from 1 species
UCCCAAAUAAACCUAAUCCCAAAUCUUUAGUCUCUUGGCCUCCUUUCACAUUUCGCAGAGCUUCUCAUCUUACGCCGCCCAACCCCCAAGCCCUCUCUCAUAGCCGGCCUAGUGUCUACCUUUCUCUCACUCUCGCUUCUACACGGAAUCUAGAACCCUCAAGCUUGCCGCUGAUCGCAACCGCCCAAAUCCCAGCUGGUGCUCCUCAACCUCGCCGCUUCUCACAGAGCUAGAUUCUUAUCCACGACAAAGAAGCUACCAUGCCUACUGUGAAUGUGGUGAGAGAUCGUCUUUUCGCGGCUCUAGGAAGAACUUACACUCAGGAGGAGUUCGAGGAUCUUUGCUUCAGUUUUGGUAUUGAGCUUGAUGAUGUGACAACCGGUGAAGCCAUUAGUAGAAAAGAGAGGCAUGAAGAAGAAAAAACAAAUGAGAACGAAGAAAUUAUUUAUAAAAUCGAAGUUCCUGCUAACAGAUAUGAUUUGCUUUGCCUUGAGGGGCUAGCUCAAGCCCUCCGCAUCUUUAACAAGCAGGAUAAGACACCAACUUAUACUGUUGCCAACAUUAGCAAGGAAUCAAUGCAUAAGAUGCAAGUAAAGCCAGAGACAUCAUCCAUUCGUCCCUACAUUGUUUGUGCUGUUUUAAGAGAUAUUACAUUUGAUGAAGCAAGUUACAACAGCUUCAUUGAUCUCCAAGAUAAGCUUCAUCAAAACAUUUGCAGGCGAAGAACAUUAGUUGCAAUUGGGACUCAUGACUUGGAUACAUUACAAGGUCCUUUCACUUAUGAGGCUUUGCCUCCUCAAGACAUAAAUUUUAUCCCACUAAAACAGGUCAAAAAA